rnacentral:rRNA from 1 species
GACAGAGGGUGCAAACGUUGCUCGGAAUUACUGGGCGUAAAGCGUGUGUAGGUGGCCGCGCAAGUCGGAUGUGAAAGCCCUGGGCUCAACUCAGGAAGUGCACCCGAUACUGCGUGGCUCGAGUACCGGAGAGGUUGGUGGAAUUCUCGGUGUAGAGGUGAAAUUCGUAGAUAUCGAGAGGAACACCUGUGGCGAAGGCGGCCAACUGGACGAGUACUGACACUGAGACACGAAAGCGUGGGGAGCAAACAGG